rnacentral:misc_RNA from 1 species
GAUGAAGAACGUAGCGAAAUGCGAUAAGUAAUGUGAAUUGCAGAAUUCAGUGAAUCAUCGAAUCUUUGAACGCACAUUGCGCCCGCCAGUAUUCUGGCGGGCAUGCCUGUUCGAGCGUCAUUACAACCCUCAGGCCCCCGGGCCUGGCGUUGGGGAUCGGCGGAAGCCCCCUGCGGGCACAACGCCGUCCCCCAAAUACAGUGGCGGUCCCGCCGCAGCUUCCAUUGCGUAGUAGCUAACACCUCGCAACUGGAGAGCGGCGCGGCCGCGCCGUAAAACACCCAACUUCUGAAUGUUGACCUCGAAUCAGGUAGGAAUACCCGCUGAACUUAAGCAUAUCAAUAAGCGGAGGA